GAUGAACGCUAGCUACAGGCUUAACACAUGCAAGUCGAGGGGUAACGAGAGGAAAGCUUGCUUUCCUUGUCGACGACCGGCGCACGGGUGAGUAACGCGUAUCCAACCUGCCCCCAACUAGGGAAUAACCUUGCGAAAGUAAGACUAAUACCCUAUAAUUUCCUCAGAUGACAUCUGACGAGGAAUAAAGAUUUAUCGGUUGUGGAUGGGGAUGCGUCUGAUUAGCUUGUUGGCGGGGUAACGGCGCACCAAGGCAACGAUCAGUAGGGGUUCUGGGAGGAAGGUCCCCCACAUUGGAACUGAGACACGGUCCAAACUCCUACGGGAGGCAGCAGUGAGGAAUAUUGGUCAAUGGGCGGAAGCCUGAACCAGCCAAGUAGCGUGCAGGAUGACGGCCCUAUGGGUUGUAAACUGCUUUUAUACAGGAAUAAAGUUAGCCACGUGUGGUUAUUUGUAGGUACUGUAUGAAUAAGGACCGGCUAAUUCCGUGCCAGCAGCCGCCGUAAUAC
rnacentral:rRNA from 1 species